rnacentral:rRNA from 1 species
GACGAACGCUGGCGGCGUGCUUAACACAUGCAAGUCGAACGGAAAGGCCCCUUUGGGGGUUCUCGAGUGGCGAACGGGUGAGUAACACGUGAGUAACCUGCCCUUGACUUCGGGAUAACUUCAGGAAACUGGGGCUAAUACCGGAUAGGAAUCCUUGCUGCAUGGUGGGGGUUGGAAAGCUUCGGCGGUUUUGGAUGGACUCGCGGCUUAUCAGCUUGUUGGUGGGGUAGUGGCUUACCAAGGCUUUGACGGGUAGCCGGCCUGAGAGGGCGACCGGCCACAUUGGGACUGAGAUACGGCCCAGACUCCUACGGGAGGCAGCAGUGGGGAAUAUUGCACAAUGGGCGGAAGCCUGAUGCAGCAACGCCGCGCGCGGGAUGACGGCCUUCGGGUUGUAAACCGCUUUCAGCAGGGGCGAAGCUUGUGGUGACGGUACCUGCAGAAGAAGCACCGGCUAACUACGUG